UAGUCCACGCCGUAAACGAUGAGUGCUAGGUGUUAGGGGGUUUCCGCCCCUUAGUGCUGAAGUUAACGCAUUAAGCACUCCGCCUGGGGAGUACGGCCGCAAGGCUGAAACUCAAAAGAAUUGACGGGGGCCCGCACAAGCGGUGGAGCAUGUGGUUUAAUUCGACGCAACGCGAAGAACCUUACCAGGUCUUGACAUCCUCUGAAAACGAUAGAGAUAUCGCUUUCCCUUCGGGGACAGAGUGACAGGUGGUGCAUGGUUGUCGUCAGCUCGUGUCGUGAGAUGUUGGGUUAAGUCCCGCAACGAGCGCAACCCUUGAUCUUAGUUGCCAUCAUUAAGUUGGGCACUCUAAGGUGACUGCCGGUGACAAACCGGAGGAAGGUGGGGAUGACGUCAAAUCAUCAUGCCCCUUAUGACCUGGGCUACACACGUGCUACAAUGGAUGGUACGAAGGGCAGCGAAGCCGCGAGGUGAAGCAAAUCCCAUAAAACCAUUCCCAGUUCGGAUUGUAGGCUGCAA
rnacentral:rRNA from 1 species